rnacentral:rRNA from 1 species
GCCAGCAGCCAUAUCACCCUGCAGCCCAAGACUGGUUGCCCAUUGAAGCUAAGCAGGGUUGAGCCUGGUCAGUACCUGGAUGGGAGACCUCCUGGGAAAACUAAGUGUAGUGAUGGGG